rnacentral:rRNA from 1 species
UUGGCCGGGCGACGGUUGUCCCGGUUUAAGCGUGUAGGUGUGUGUUCCAGGUAAAUCCGGUUCACUUUAACACUGAGGCGUGACGACGAGGCACUACGGUGCUGAAGCAACAAAUGCCCUGCUUCCAGGAAAAGCCUCUAAGCAUCAGGUAACAUCAAAUCGUACCCCAAACCGACACAGGUGGUCAGGUAGAGAAUACCAAGGCGCUUGAGAGAACUCGGGUGAAGGAACUAGGCAAAAUGGUGCCGUAACUUCGGGAGAAGGCACGCUGACACGUAGGUGAAGUGAUUUACUCAUGGAGCUGAAGUCAGUCGAAGAUACCAGCUGGCUGCAACUGUUUAUUAAAAACACAGCACUGUGCAAACACGAAAGUGGACGUAUACGGUGUGACGCCUGCCCGGUGCCGGAAGGUUAAUUGAUGGGGUCAGCGCAAGCGAAGCUCCUGAUCGAAGCCCCGGUAAACGGCGGCCGUAACUAUAACGGUCCUAAGGUAGCGAAAUUCCUUGUCGGGUAAGUUCCGACCUGCACGAAUGGCGUAAUGAUGGCCAGGCUGUCUCCACCCGAGACUCAGUGAAAUUGAACUCGCUGUGAAGAUGCAGUGUACCCGCGGCAAGACGGAAAGACCCCGUGAACCUUUACUAUAGCUUGACACUGAACAUUGAGCCUUGAUGUGUAGGAUAGGUGGGAGGCUUUGAAGUGUGGACGCCAGUCUGCAUGGAGCCGACCUUGAAAUACCACCCUUUAAUGUUUGAUGUUCUAACGUGGACCCGUAAUCCGGGUUGCGGACAGUGUCUGGUGGGUAGUUUGACUGGGGCGGUCUCCUCCUAAAGAGUAACGGAGGAGCACGAAGGUUGGCUAAUCCUGGUCGGACAUCAGGAGGUUAGUGCAAUGGCAUAAGCCAGCUUGACUGCGAGCGUGACGGCGCGAGCAGGUGCGAAAGCAGGUCAUAGUGAUCCGGUGGUUCUGAAUGGAAGGGCCAUCGCUCAACGGAUAAAAGGUACUCCGGGGAUAACAGGCUGAUACCGCCCAAGAGUUCAUAUCGACGGCGGUGUUUGGCACCUCGAUGUCGGCUCAUCACAUCCUGGGGCUGAAGUAGGUCCCAAGGGUAUGGCUGUUCGCCAUUUAAAGUGGUACGCGAGCUGGGUUUAGAACGUCGUGAGACAGUUCGGUCCCUAUCUGCCGUGGGCGCUGGAGAACUGAGGGGGGCUGCUCCUAGUACGAGAGGACCGGAGUGGACGCAUCACUGGUGUUCGGGUUGUCAUGCCAAUGGCACUGCCCGGUAGCUAAAUGCGGAAGAGAUAAGUGCUGAAAGCAUCUAAGCACGAAACUUGCCCCGAGAUGAGUUCUCCCUGAGACUUAGAGUCUCCUGAAGGAACGUUGAAGACGACGACGUUGAUAGGCCGGGUGUGUAAGCGCAGCGAUGCGUUGAGCUAACCGGUACUAAUGAACCGUGAGGCUUAACCUU